rnacentral:rRNA from 1 species
UACGGAGGAUCCAAGCGUUAUCCGGAAUCAUUGGGUUUAAAGGGUCCGUAGGCGGUUUUAUAAGUCAGUGGUGAAAUCCGGCAGCUCAACUGUCGAACUGCCAUUGAUACUGUAGGACUUAAAUUAUUGUGAAGUAACUAGAAUAUGUAGUGUAGCGGUGAAAUGCUUAGAUAUUACAUGGAAUACCCAUUGCGAAGGCAGGUUACUAACAAUACAUUGACGCUGAUGGACGAAAGCGUGGGGAGCGAACAGG